rnacentral:tRNA from 1 species
GCAGAUGUGGCGGAACUGGUAUACGCGUACGGUUCAGAACCGUAUCCCGCAAGGGUUGGAGGUUCGAGUCCUCUCAUCUGCA